AAUGGAGUACAAAACAGAUUACUCUUAGACUCAGUAAUCUACCAGAAAAAUUAAUGUGAUACAUAUACCUCCAAGGAAGACUGUCUCGGACAAUCAGUAUAAGCCCUUUCCCUGUACAAUCACAUUUGAGUAUCAGUUUAUCAAUUAUGUAUCCAAUGAUAUUUUAUAUAUAUAUAUAUUCAUAAGUAUCUCUUCACAGUAACCGGAUACAGAGAAGAAAAUUAUAAAAUUUCUUGAAUCGAAAAGCCCUAGUCCCCUCAGAUUCUAGGGUUCUCUCAAGGACCCCUAGACAAAGGUGGAUUUAGGUAAGAUUCAAAAUGGAAACCCUAGUCUCCUUUAAGAAAAACGUUCGGUUACAAAGAGAUUUUUAAAUGUGGAAGUCGAAAUUGAUACUCAGAAUCACCAAAGGGAAUCGAACAAUGUUACAAGAACCCCUUUAAAAUUUUUAAAGGAUCGAAGACAAGAAACUGUAGAUCGUCAAAACUAAGUGUUCGAACCCUAGCCCAAAAAAGCAGAAACUCAAAACGCAGCACAAAUCAGAUUUUUCUAAAAUGCUCUGAUACCACUGUUGUGUUUAGAAAAUCCGUGCAGAAUCACACUUCAAACCAAAUACACAGAAACAAAAAUAAAAUGAGAGAACACGAGAUUUUUCAGCCCAAAGGCCCCGAGGUUCAGCGACCAAAUCUAACGCCUACAUCCCCGUUGAGCAUCCAUCAGGAAUAAGCUCAAAUCCACUAUGAACAGCCCAAAAUAAGCAAAACAGUCUCAAGAACACACAGUUACAGAACUUCUCAAAAACGAAAGAUCUUCUCACAACAAUAUUGAACUCACACAAGAGUUCAUCUAAAUUCCUAAUUCUCUCUACCAAAAUCACACAAGAUCUAUAGAGAGAAC
rnacentral:lncRNA from 1 species